GGUAGCAUGGCCGAGCGAUCUAAGGCGCUGGUUUAAGGCACCAGUCAUUUCGAUGGCGUGGGUUCGAAUCCCACUGCUGCCA
rfam:Ciona savignyi cont_59294, whole genome shotgun sequence.